rnacentral:rRNA from 1 species
UACGGAGGAUCCAAGCGUUAUCCGGAUUCAUUGGGUUUAAAGGGUGCGUAGGCGGAAUGAUAAGUCAGUGGUGAAAUCCUGCAGCUUAACUGCAGAACUGCCAUUGAUACUGUCAAUCUUGAGUAUAUUUGAUGUGGGCGGAAUGUGUCAUGUAGCGGUGAAAUGCUUAGAUAUGACACAGAACACCGAUUGCGAAGGCAGCUCACAAAACUAUAACUGACGCUGAGGCACGAAGCGUGGGUAUCAAACAGG